UAUAUUUUAUAUUAAUUUGAAUAAGAAAGACACAUUUAAUCAAUUAGUAAAUUAAAAUAAUUGAUUCAAUCACGUCACGUCACACCAUAUCAUUCUAGACUGUGUCAAAUCUUACAAAGGAAUUUUGCCCCUGGCAGCUCUAGGCUCUGUCACUUUAUUUACUUCCGUUCUUUUAGAUUCAUAUUAGUAGUUUUUUUAUACAGCAUUCAUUUUCCUUGCCUAAAAUUUGUUAUUAAAUCCCAAAAUUAUUAAUUAAAGUCAAAAAUACCAAAGAUACCUCAACUACCAGUGUCACAGUGAUUUAACACUUUAAUAAGCAGAUAAGUGACAAACAUCCAACCACCAUAUUGUAAUUCAUCAAGUUGCAUAGAGAAAGUUGACAAAUAAUAAUUACCUUUACCAUGACAGAAGUUUAAACUGAACUGGAAAAGAUCGUCUUCGAGUCAAGUGCGCUUUUUAUGAUUCUCUUAAUAUCCUACCCAUUGCAUAUCGCAAGAACUGUACAAGACAAUGAAGUAGAGUUUCAGAUUCAACCACGAUCAUAUGUUUUUUUACUUUCAUCAAGACAUCAAGAAUGUAUAAAUGUUUAGUGAAUCUAGUGCCGUAAGAUGACCUAUGACCUAAUGUUUAAACUAUCUAGAACCACGGAUGUUUAAUUAAUGUGCCUAGCUACUGACAGUGCGAGUGAAAUAAACUUAAAAUAUGGAAACUGUUCCUACAAGCAAGCAGGCUGACAACUAUUGAACGUGGUGUGGACAAGUCAUUACUGAAGAAAAAUAAAUUGAAAUUACACUGUGAGACUCCAUUUACUGAUUUUGAUGAAUCUUUCCUGAGCUUUAAGACAAACAGAGUCAACUCUGAUGGCUGCCUAUAUAUACCUAUACCUAGCGAUCUUGUGAUAUUUAUGCGGAGCGGAGCAAACUUCCAUUUGCUGUUUUCAUGGGCUUUUCCGAGUCUCUCGAUAAUCUCUAAUGCUAUUUGGGACAUUGUCCGAGCCACACAGCGAGUCUAUCAUCCACCUGACCUCAAUCUUUCUUCUGCUGACUGCUUCUAUUUAUGAAAGAUUAUGAAGAACCAGACCACUCCAGACUCCUGUUCAAUGACUUUAUUUCACGACUUUUGCUGUAACAAUAGCGCUGUCUUCUGACACUUGAAAGCUCCCGUUCGACGGCUCUAUUACAAGAAACCUGCUCCUACAUCAGCAGUGGUCUACAUUGAAUACUACUUAUAGGGAAAAUUUCACUCAAGACCUUCCUUUAUAUUAGGUAUCAAGGCGCAAGAAGGUGAAUUUAUAAUUGAUUAUUAUGUGAUGACAAUUUUUAGCUGAGGAAUAUGAAAAGAAUCCCUAACAACGGCGAGAAGAGAACGAGUAAAGAAGAUUGAUAAACCUAUCAAGUAGACAAUAACUCUAAGGAUUUUUCUAAGUAGACAAUAACUGGAAUUUUUUUUGUACAUAGUAACAGUUUCAGAAAUAAACGUUAGGUUUCAUGGCUUUUAUUCAAAACACAAUAAAAACAGAGUCCAAAAUUCAGUGUACCCACUCCGCUCUCACGGCAACAAAAUGUAGCCUGAAUGGCUACUUUUACUUUCCUUUAUUUUAGAAACCUUGGUAUCCAAAAUGUGCCCCAAAAGUGGUACACUUUAGAUCCCUCGGUCACGGCACCAAAAUGUAACUUCCCCUACCUACACCCCAAAUCUACCCCAUCUAUUCAACCCCGGACCUAAUAAAAUACUGAACCUAAUCGUUAACAAUCCCACCUUUAAAAUUACCCCUAAAAUUUACCCCAACAAUAAUUUUACCUUAACAAUAAUUUGGCCAAGUGAUCGUCUAGUUACAGGUUAGGACCCCUCGAAGCGAACCGCGGUACCCUAGAUUCUUUAAUGAGUAACAACUAAAUCUUGGACUCUGAUUCUACCUGAUUAAGUUUUACCUAGAUGUUAAGACUCGGGAAUUUACUAUACUAAAUAAUUUAUUAUGAUGAUAGGAAACAAUCGAUAGGAUAUUAUGUUAAGAUUCAACCUUCAGCAAAAUACCGUAAGACUAAGUUAUUCCAAACCCUUUUCCAUAUUAAAUAUGACACCUUAUAAGUAGAAUGAAAAUAUAUAACAAUUGACAAGGUAUGAGCAGUGUCGUGGUAAAGGAUAUAGGCUCCGCCCACACGCGCAAGGUCGUAGACGACGGGAGUAGCCUUAAGUUACAGAAAUUAUCAAUGAUUUUUGAUGUAAUGUAAAAUAUAUUUUUAUUAAUUUAUUAGAAAGAUAUUUAGGUAUUGCAGCAUAUAUGAUUAUAUAAAUAUAAAAAUAUUUUUGGUAAAAUCCUGCUACUCCUAUUAAGUCUUCGGGGUAACAUUGAAGCAGCACUCCCGGGAUAAGCCCAUUUACACACUAAUAUUAAGAUUAAAAUAUUAUUACCUAUCAAUCCUAUCAUCUUCUAAACGAGGUGUGAACGGAUCACGCGUGCUGCCUCUAAUGCUAGAUGCAGGUCUGAAGACUCUUACUCCGAUUAGCAAUAUCAAUCGGGCCACCUACUAUCUUAUUAGCCAGACGGGCUAUGACCAACGCUUCGCAACCCUAUACAAACCUAGGGGCUGACGAAGAGAAGCGAUAAGUAUUCGUCAGACACCAAUUACUUAUCUUUUAUAUCCAAAAGCUAAGGCUACUAAGCCAUUACCCAGUCCCCAUAGCUAAAAGUAGGCUGAAUUUCUAGGCCUUUCAAAUGUAUAAACGAAGUACAAGUUUAACUCAUUACUGUACUUUAUGAGAUCGAACUAUCAAGGUGAGUAUUAUUCCACUCAAAGAUUCCAAUGGACUGCGCUCGCCUGCCAAAGGGUCUCUAAAACAAACCAUUCUUUUAUCCCAGAAUAGUCUGUGUUCCUAAACCCAACUUGAUAUGUAAGGAUUGAAUAUAUAAAUACCUUAGGACCUGAUCGAAUACUCAGUACUUCGUCUCUACACCAAAAACCCAGAAAUGAAAAUAAAUAGAUAUAAGAUGUUACAGAUAACCCUCAACUUUCCACUCAGAGUAACAGUCUGGAAGAUUUAGGUAAUUAAAACCCAUUACCGGUAUUUCACUAAUAUUAUCAUUAAUACACGUUAUAAAACAUAGCUUCACGUCAUUAGAACCUUUUGAAAGAUAUAUAUAUAUACACCAACCAAUCGAAUUUCUAGAUCAAACCUAAGAGAGAGACCCUAUAACAGUGUGUGUGACUCUACCCUAUUCCUACCCUUAGACCCUAAUCUAGUAUGUCCAGAACACAGAUCGUACUUACCAUUGAUCUAGUGAUUUGGAACAUACACAAGUGUAUCCCUAAGUCUAAGCUGUAAGCAUUCGGCCGACAAAACCGAGGUAUAGCAAACCCUAGUGUCUGUGUGAUUGGCCCCCUCCUCAUCGCCACGUAGGCACGGUGGAUGAGAAUAGACCGCCCUAGCAUGUCUAUAGGUAAUCAGCACACUAGCACACACACCCGUACCAGUCACAUGGGAUACCCCGCCAUGACUAAAACUUUAUCUGUGUUUGUUACCAAUCAUGACAGAAGCUCUCCCGUGACCAGCACUAGCAUGAGCCAGAGCACCGAAAUAUAUAUAAAUAUAUUUAAUACGAGACCUAGCCUCAAUUACUGCAGACUUCAGUGAGCCGAGAUUACUCUCAAUGGCACGCACGUGAUGCCCUCACAUUCAUCUAACAGCUGGACUUUGAGACUAAGGAGAGUAUGCUCGCCUCUUAUGUUGGUAAAGAAGAGACGCCAAGUCCUCUCAACUUGGAGCAAAAGACUUCUAAACAGCUGCAGUUUGUCACCGUUAGGGAGCAGCUGAUUAGAUGGACAAACUGUUAGUCCAAACAGUGAUCUGGCUUUAUAAAAUAACAAACUAACCUCAUAGAAAGGUAAUAAAAUAACAAAAUUAGAUUUUACUAACAAAAACUCACAAUAUAGUAACACAGAUAAGGAAGUAAAGAAUCUCCACCAUAGCCUAAGCUUAGCUUUACGACAACAUUGUCCCCGCAAUGCCAAACAUAGACACAAUUUACAAGUUUAAAUUUACCAGGAUAAUUCCCAGCAAACACAAACAAAUAGAAGGAAUAGUAGAGAAACUUUACUUACUCAAAGCCAGAGAUACCGCCAGUCCGAUGGUUAAAGAAUGAAUGCCCAUCCUCCGUACUUUACGGCCCUUUUAUAUACUUUAUUAGCGACAUAACAGCGACAUAACGGCGACUAGCGACAUAACAGCGACAUAUUGGCGACUAGCGACAUAAUAGCGACAUAUUGGCGACAUAACGGCGACAUAACAGCGAC